UACGUAGGGGGCUAGCGUUGUCCGGAAUCAUUGGGCGUAAAGCGCGUGUAGGCGGUCCGGUAAGUCCGCUGUGAAAGUCGGGGGCUCAACCCUCGGAUGCCGGUGGAUACUGUCGGACUAGAGUACGGAAGAGGCGAGUGGAAUUCCUGGUGUAGCGGUGAAAUGCGCAGAUAUCAGGAGGAACACCAAUUGCGAAGGCAGCUCGCUGGGACGUUACUGACGCUGAGACGCGAAAGCGUGGGGAGCAAACAGG
rnacentral:rRNA from 1 species